GGGGGGGGGGGGGGGGGGGCUGGGGGGAUGGGGGUCGAGCGGGAACAGGCCGCAAGGUGCUGACGAGUGGCGAACGGGUGAGUAAUGCAUCGGAACGUGCCCAGUCGUGGGGGAUAACUACUCGAAAGAGUAGCUAAUACCGCAUACGAUCUAUGGAUGACAGCGGGGGACCGUAAGGCCUCGCGCGAUUGGAGCGGCCGAUGGCAGAUUAGGUAGUUGGUGGGGUAAAGGCUCACCAAGCCAACGAUCUGUAGCUGGUCGGAGAGGCCGACCAGCCACACUGGGACUGAGACACGGCCCAGACUCCUACGGGAGGCAGCAGUGGGGAAUUUUGGACAAUGGGCGCAAGCCUGAUCCAGCAAUGCCGCGUGCAGGAAGAAGGCCUUCGGGUUGUAAACUGCUUUUGUACGGAACGAAACGGCUCUGGUUAAUACCCGGGGCUAAUGACGGUACCGUAAGAAUAAGCACCGGCUAACUACGUG
rnacentral:rRNA from 1 species